UUUUUUUUUUUUUUUUUAAUGAAAUGGUCACUCAUCGGGAGAUUUGUCGCAUUCUGGAUUGCCGGAAAUUACGCAACAGCGCUCCUUUGAAUUCCUUUUUAAAAAUAAAAGGCAACGAGGUCACGAGGGACCACUGAAAGCGCGUUACUCGCGCGAUACAAUUCUUUGAAAAAUUCACGGGCGAGGCAGUUCUUUCGAGUCAAGGAGACCUUGAAAAAAAAAAAAACUCAAGAACCGAAAUGAGCGCACGAGAAGAAAGCUAAAAAAGAAA